UUGGGGUGCUCGAGUGGCGAACGGGUGAGUAACACGUGAGUAACCUGCCCUUGACUUUGGGAUAACUUCAGGAAACUGGGGCUAAUACCGUAUAGGAGCUCCUGCUGCAUGGUGGGGGUUGGAAAGUUUCGGCGGUUGGGGAUGGACUCGCGGCUUAUCAGCUUGUUGGUGGGGUAGUGGCUUACCAAGGCUUUGACGGGUAGCCGGCCUGAGAGGGUGACCGGCCACAUUGGGACUGAGAUACGGCCCAG
rnacentral:rRNA from 1 species